CUCAACGCGACCCCAGGUCAGGC
rnacentral:rRNA from 1 species